GCUUUGUUUUUCCUUCAGUCGGUUGCAGGGUUCUUUAGGUGGGUCAGAGUCUAUGGACUGAUGCGUUUUCCAGUAGAAACCGGUACGCAUAUCUUUUUGAGUUGGUAACUGGUAGGAUCUGUCAGUGUAAAGCAAUCUAGUAGUAGGUGCCUGUAUUGCACGCAGCUCUUCCUCAGUUCCAGUUACUGUCGGCUGUGGUUAUGAGGUGCCUCAGGAUGUGCUUAUUUUCUUGUUUCCGCCCUUCCCUCGUGCAGCCUUGGAGAGAUGAAGUCCCCAUGGUGUGGAGUGGUGCAAAAAGAGGAAUGGUCCAACAAUUCGGGUUAAUAGGGGACAAGAGAACAAAGGGGUUUCAGAAUAACUGCUAACUGUUAUGACUAUUGCAUGGGGCACUAUGCAAGUCUCUGACAUCCAGCCAAGAUGGACAAAGGAGAAGGACAAGGGAAAAGCCUGGGAGGAAGACUAUGAGCCUUCAGUACGAGAGACCCGCAGAGGGACCACCAGAGACUGGUAACACAUGCGCCAGUGGGCGGGUUCGGAUUCCAGGAACUAGUUAUAAUAACCCUGCCUUUUCUAGAAGUAGUAAUGAAUAUGUAUUAGCCUAGGAGCAUAAAAACCAGCCGCCUGC